GAUGAACGCUGGCGGCGUGCCUAAUACAUGCAAGUCGAGCGAACAGACGAGGAGCUUGCUCCUCUGACGUUAGCGGCGGACGGGUGAGUAACACGUGGAUAACCUACCUAUAAGACUGGGAUAACUUCGGGAAACCGGAGCUAAUACCGGAUAAUAUAUUGAACCGCAUGGUUCAAUAGUGAAAGACGGUUUUGCUGUCACUUAUAGAUGGAUCCGCGCCGCAUUAGCUAGUUGGUAAGGUAACGGCUUACCAAGGCAACGAUGCGUAGCCGACCUGAGAGGGUGAUCGGCCACACUGGAACUGAGACACGGUCCAGACUCCUACGGGAGGCAGCAGUAGGGAAUAUUCCGCAAUGGGCGAAAGCUUGACGGAGCAACGCCGCGUGAGUGAUGAAGGUCUUCGGAUCGUAAAACUCUGUUAUUAGGGAAGAAAAAAUGUGGAAGUAACUAUGCACGUCUUGACGGUACCUAAUCAGAAAGCCACGGCUAACUACGUG
rnacentral:rRNA from 1 species